rnacentral:misc_RNA from 1 species
CAGAGUUGGGAAACUCCUUAAACCAUUGUGAAUCUACCUUUAUAUUCGUUGCUUUGGCGGGCGGCUCCAGGGCGGAGCCACUGCCCGUUGGGUCGGGCGCCCGCCGAAGGACAACCAAAAACUCGUUAAAUCUGUACGAAUCUCAGAGUAAAAUAUCAAGCUAUCA